ensembl:lncRNA
GCAGCUUUGAGUCAAAUUUUUUUGUUUCCAGAAAGCAGGAAACAGAAUGUAUACAGGAUAUGUAGUGUACACACACACACACACACACACACACACACACACACACACACACACCAUGGAAUUUGGUUUCUCGAAGUCAUCUAGAGCAGUUUCUAUCAUGCCAUUCAGUGAGCAGCUUCAGCUGAGUCUCUUUUAUGCUUCUGAGAGCAGCUGUGGAGAAACAGCAGUUGGAUCCACAGACCUCUUUGAUAUUCCUGAGCCCUGAGAAUUACACACCGAUCCGGGAAGGGCGAGUUGGAUCAGGGAAAGCAGAGAAUGCUGCUUAUGGAAAAAGAAGGCCUGGAGCUACUGAGGAGGAACUGGAAGUGGUUUCGUUCUCAGGAAAAAAGGAGGCUGACACAAGAGGACCACAGAGAGUUUGAGUGUUGCAGCUUCUAUGACCUGCCUGGGGGAAGAAUUCAGAUUUCUGCAGCUUGCCUUCUGGGAGGUAGAAAGGAGAAGUAAGAGGGCAGGGGAAGGGCAGAAACCACCUUAAGCUGCUGAGGCUGCUUCUGAGACCUUCACCUUGGGGUACUGUUUUCCGAACUCCAACCUUUGAUUGUAGAGUCACAAUAGCUGAGUCACCCAAGGUCUCCACAGAUAUGACUGGGAAAAGGACCAUGGAACUGAAACCAAAGACCAGGCUCUGGUGUGCAUACCUUCAAUCCCAGCACUCAGGAGGCUCAGGCAAGGAGGAUUGAAAGCCCUAGAACAGCUAGGGCUACAUAGCAAGACUCUCUACAACUGCCAUGCCACCUCAAGCAAGGAAACUAGAACCAAAGAUGUCGAAUAUAGUCUUUGUUUGAUAGUCACCCUUUGUGUAAAUAUUGUCCCAAAAAUUAAAAGUGACUUCAUAACUGUGGAGAGUUGGUAGUAAGACAACCUAAAGCUGUAGAGAAUGAAUUUAACAUUGUGGAUUGCAGCCCAGUGAAUCUGUGCAAGAGGCAAGCCAGAGAUCUUUGUUGGUCUGGCUAACCUAUAACUCGCUGAAUAGACCAGGGUGCCCUUGCCCCCCAAAUGCUGGAUUAGAGGCAUUUGCCACUGUAUCCGGCUCUAUUGAGAACAUUCUCCAGUCAAAGAACCUCAUGGAAUGGAUGGAACCACAGAUGCCGAAGACAUCACUUGGAGCUCAUCAAACCUGUAGAAUCAGAAGCUGCACCUGGGGACUAUCAAGUCACAAUCACAUCUAACAAGACUUGCCAGUGAUGCCCCUGCAAACUAAAGUAUGAAAAGUAUUUCCCAAGAGUGGUUGUAUGGCUUGAAUACCCGUGUAUUCGAAAGGCUCCAAUGUUGAAAGGACAACCUGAAAGGUGAUGAUAGUAGAGGGUGGGACUUUUGAAAAGUUAUUAGCUUAUGAUGGAGGAUCCUUGGCACUGGGAUUAGCACCUUAUAAUAGGAGACUCUUGAGAACUACCUAGGAACCAGAAAGUGGCUCUCAUCAGCUAGCUGUUCUUUGAUCUUGAACGUUUCACCUGCAGAACUAACCAUGAGAAGUAACUCUGUUCAUAAGCCACCUGGUCCAUUGUAUCUUAUUGUAGUCAUGCAAAUAGAUGGGCAUUAAAGUCUCCAAGGAACCAGAACUAGCUGUAGCAAAGUAACUGUACUCAGAGCUCUGAUGAAUGCUCAGAACUAUACAACCUGGAGUUGCAGGAACACAGCCUGGUCAGAGCCCCCCAUUAGCUGGACUUAGUACAAAUGAUCUUUGACUCUGGUUUCUUGAUUUUAGAGCUGGGAGCAUAGUUUACUGGUCCAAUGCCUACCUAACCUGUGAAAGGCCCUGGAUUCUGUUCCCCACACCAUUUAGCAGGAGGGGAACCAUGUAUUUCAGGAAGUAUAUUGUGUUGUUGCCUCACCCUGCUUUCAGCCUGCCCUGGAAGUCACCUGCACACAAUUCUUUUAUAUGUUUAU